rnacentral:lncRNA from 1 species
AUGCAGCUGCCACGACAGGUGACCGGGCCGCUCUGCAGACGCCCCGCACGCUCGGGGCUUCGCCGAGGUGGGGCGGGAAGGGAGGGCACAGCCUGGAGGACGGAAGGUGGGCAGGGGCAGGGGCAGGGGCAGGGGCAGGGGGGAAAUCCACUCCGUCCGCACGCUGCGGGUGGGGGUGGGAGGAAGAGGAGGAGCACAGCCCCGUCUCCCCCGGGAAACCGUUUUAAGGGAUCUUCUCUCUCCACAAUUAAGAAGAAGAAGAAAAAAUGGCUCCGAGCCAAACGCCUCCUGAUUUACACACACACGCACACCAAGCUCUAUUUCGCCCCAUUUUCCUGUACGCUGAAACAAAAGGCGAACACGGCUCAACAGCAGGCAGCGCCGCCCGGAGCCCGCCGUCCGCGCCCCCGGGAGAGCCCACCCGAGGCGGCCCGCCCGCCGCCGCCGCCGCCGCCGCCGCCGCCGCCCCCCGCCCCCCGCCCGAGGACCGGCCUCCCGCCCGGCCGGGCCGCCGCCGCCCUCCCCGCCCGCCGCCCGCCGCCGCCGCCGCCGCCCGCCGCGCCCCCCGCCCGCGCGCGCACACGGGCCUGGCCGGCGCCGGGGGCCGCGAGCCCACCUCGAGGGGCGGGCGCCCGGCCGGGCUCGGGAGGGCGCUGCCGGCGGCGCCGGGGCCCGCCGCCUCCUCGCCGCGGAGGGCGGCAGCGCGCGGCCCCGGCGCCCGUGACAGCGGCCCCGCGCCCGCCUCACCUCCUAGCGCCCGUGGCGGCGGCCCCGCGCUCCUCCGCGCCUCUCCGCCUCCGCCUCCAGCAGCCCCGCGCCGCCGCCGCCGCCGCCGCCGCCGCCGCCGCCGCCGCCUCCCCCCGCCCCGCGUCUCGACCGAGUCUCCGCCUCCCUCGGCCGCCGCCGCCGCCGCUGGGCCCGGCUCCGCGCCACGUGACCGCGCCACGUGACCCGGCGCGGCUGGCAGGCGCCUCCCCGGCCGGCCUCGCGCCCUCGCGCGCUGGGGACCCGCGCCCCGCCGGUGGACGCCCGCCCCGCCCCGCCCCGCCCCGCCCCGCCCGGCCCCACCCGGCCGGGCCCGGCCCCCCGCCAGCCCGCCGCCCGCCGCCCGCCCGCCGCCACCUGCUCGCGCUCGCCUCCGCCCCGCUGCGCUCGCCCGAGCGCACACUCACGCGUGCACACACCGGCGCUCACGCGCGUGCACACGCGCAGCUCGCCGUCCUCGCCGUGCAGGGCUGCUUCCCAGCCUGCUCCCACGAGAAAACAAAGUAG